GAUGAACGCUAGCGGCAGGCUUAAUACAUGCAAGUCGAACGGUAACAGGUCUUCGGACGCUGACGAGUGGCGCACGGGUGAGGAACACGUACACAAUCUACCUUAUACUGGAGAAUAGCCCCGGGAAACUGGGAUUAAUACUCCAUAGUCUUUAAUGAUCACAUGAGAAAUAAAGUAAAGCUUCGGCGGUAUAAGAUGAGUGUGCGUCCCAUUAGAUUGUUGGUGAGGUAACGGCUCACCAAGUCGACGAUGGGUAGCUGGCGUGAGAGCGCGACCAGCCACGCUGGCACUGAGACACGGGCCAGACUCCUACGGGAGGCAGCAGUAGGGAAUAUUGGUCAAUGGACGAAAGUCUGAACCAGCCAUGCCGCGUGGAGGAUGACUGCCCUCUGGGUUGUAAACUCCUUUUAUAUGGGAAGAAACCUCUGGAUUCACUCCAGAGCUGACGGUAUCAUAUGAAUAAGCACCGGCUAACUCCG
rnacentral:rRNA from 1 species